rnacentral:rRNA from 1 species
UGGGGAAUAUUGCACAAUGGAGGGAACUCUGAUGCAGCGACGCCGCGUGAACGAAGAAGGCUUUCGAGUCGUAAAGUUCUUUUAUAUGGGAAGAUAAUGACGGUACCAUAAGAAAAAGCCCCGGCUAACUACGUGCCAGCAGCCGCGGUAAUACGUAGGGGGCUAGCGUUGUCCGGAAUCACUGGGCGUAAAGGGUUCGCAGGCGGAAAUGCAAGUCAGGUGUAAAAGGCAGUAGCUUAACUACUGUAAGCAUUUGAAACUGCAUAUCUUGAGAAGAGUAGAGGUAAGUGGAAUUUUUAGUGUAGCUGUGAGAUGCGUAGAUAUUAAAAAGAAUACCGGUGGCGAAGGCGACUUACUGGGCUCAUUCUGACGCUGAGGAACGAAAGCGUGGGUAGCAAACAGG